UCUGCACUUUAGGAAAGAAAACGCAGACACGCCUCCUCACCUGGAGCCUGCUUUUAUUUACUCACCUUAACUCCCCGUCCAGCGCUUGUAUCACAGCCGCAAAACUCCGGCUGGUUUGGUUCAGGUACAGAUAGCAGGUCCGCAGACUCAAACUCAUGGACUCCUGGCAAAAGAGACAGAAGAACGUCGUGUGUCGGUAAAAGCCUGAGGGUCUAAGGACGCUGGAGGGACGGGCAGCCUCCUGCAGGCCCCGCUCCCCAAGCCUCCAGCUCGGUAGGAGGGACCGAGGAGCGGUCCCGCAGCCUCGCGGCGUUACCGAGAGAGAGCGCUUGAACACGGACAGAGAGACUGGACACUUGCAGCAUACUCCGGCCAUACAAAUAACCGCACAGUACGACCGAGAUUCUACAAAACGACUCUGUCCAUGUCGACGCCACGGCUGGUGGGGACAAUUUGAAACAUGUAGAGGACAGGCGAGUUGAGGGGUCGAAUAAGGUGAAAAACGUUUAGGUGGACGCCUGGAAGAGCUAAAUCAAGCCCUCCACUGGACUGGAUUUAGAACAGUCUAACCCUUCACUGUGUAUGGGAGCGGGGUCUGUGCACAGCGUUUGUAGAUCUGUUAUUAUGAUUACUCCGCUCCUCCCACUCUAAAAGCUGUAGGCCACGUUUUAUAAUCUGAAAAUAAAUGUGUCUAGUGCUAAACCCAAUAUACAUUUCUGUAUCAGAACAGAAACAGAACUGUAUAGGCUAUAAUGUUUUGAAUGUAAAACACAUAGGCCUAAAAUAGUAGCCUUAUAGCCUAGUGGUUGUAUCUGCGUAGGCUAUGUAAUGACCUAAUGUUGCCUCUUGGUGAUCAUCAUCAUGAGCAGGCAUAACAAUGUUUUGAUUUCAGUCACCUGCGACUGCGUGCAAAAAAACUUUUUUUACGACUGAUAUAGAACAACAAAAUCACAUCAACACUGUCAAAAGCAGUACCAUGCUUGGAUAACUGAGGAGACUCCUUUUCAGGAGAAAAGAGGAGCCACAUUUUAACUGAAUGAUUCCUGAACUACCAGGGCUGAGGAGUCUGGAUGGAACUUACCACGUUAAGUCGUAAACGAUCUCUGUUAAGUGGAUAUGAAAAAGAGCCUCCGCUGUACACAAAGAAAUGUCUGAAAACUCUGCUGGACAGAUAUGAGACUGACAGAGCCACAGAGCAUGCCAAACUGAAGACGAGCUGGGGUCGGCCCUGCACACCUGAAGCCUGUGUGAAUGGACGGUCACAACUCCUGAC